AUCAUCUUCAUACUUCAAGAAGUCAAGUAAAGAUUUAUCUUUUAUGACUCUUCAAGCUAGGAUAUGAUGAUCAAGGUGGAGAUGGCAUGCUAGGGUGAUCUUUGGAAGGUUUUGGUGUUACUAGCUAGCUUUAAAAGAUUUAGUGCAUUAAAAAAAGCCGUCUGUUGAUGGGUUACAAGUGCUCAACUGUCACACCUACCCUGUUAGGUGCUCCAUGAGGUUCGUCACCAACCGCCGGUCUAGAGCCC